CAUGCGCGGUCUGCCUCCCGCGGCGGGCCGGGUCUCCAGGGAGGACCUGAGUUUUCUUCACCCAUGGUCAGGGAAGCGCCAUCGCCCUGGCUUUGAGGCUGGGGCCUCCGGGGAGAUUCCGGUAGGGGCUUUGAAGAGGCCGCUGUUUUUGCAAGGCCGAGACGGCGGGCCCUGCGCAGGCCGCCCUAUUCCGCGCCCUCAGGGCGUCAGUAUCCGCCUGAGGCCGGAUACCCCCUCUGGGCCCGGAUGCCCCCGCUGGCCCCGGAGCAUCCUCGGCGCUGCCCUCCCAGAGCCCCGCAGAGGCUGAGGUGGCGCGGGGGCGGCCCCGGCUCCGCGAGAAGCGGCGGCAGCGAGGGCUGGAGGACCCGGGCUACGGGGCUCCGGGGCGUCUGGCCUGGUUGGGACUGAGCCCAUCCAGGGACUGGGACUCUGGGAUUCUGGUGUAGGUGGAUCCGGGGCAGGCUCAGGACCAAGUCCCUCUCCUUCCACCAAGGAGCGCCCAGAGGCCGGCGGGAGCUCCAGGUUCACCUCCUCCUCCUCCAGGAAAUCCCACUUCCAACUGGAUGUCUGGAUGAACUACUGAAAGCUGCUGAGUGUCCUGCAGCAGCUUGACUACAACACAAAUGAAUCCACUCAAAUGUUGGCAAGUGGAGCAGAGUCCCAGAACAGGUACAGAAACACCCCCAGUUCAAGGAUCUUCACACCUGGAUUUAGGCCUACUCCUGCAACUACCCCAGCUACUUACACCAAGAUGAAGAUAAUUUAUUAGUUCAG
ensembl:lncRNA FAM66E family with sequence similarity 66 member E